rnacentral:rRNA from 1 species
GGGGCGGUCGCCUCCCAAAGAGUAACGGAGGCGCCCAAAGGUUCCCUCAGUACGGUUGGAAAUCGUACGCAGAGUGCAAAGGCAUAAGGGAGCUUGACUGCAAGACCUACAAGUCGAGCAGGGACGAAAGUCGGGCUUAGUGAUCCGGUGGUUCCGCAUGGAAGGGCCAUCGCUCAAAGGAUAAAAGGUACUCCGGGGAUAACAGGCUGAUCUCCCCCAAGAGCUCAUAUCGAC